UACGGAGGGUGCAAGCGUUGUUCGGAAUUAUUGGGCGUAAAGAGCUCGUAGGCGGCUUGUCGCGUCGGAUGUGAAAGCCCGGGGCUUAACUCCGGGUCUGCAUUCGAUACGGGCAGGCUAGAGUUCGGUAGGGGAGAUCGGAAUUCCUGGUGUAGCGGUGAAAUGCGCAGAUAUCAGGAGGAACACCGGUGGCGAAGGCGGAUCUCUGGGCCGAUACUGACGCUGAGGAGCGAAAGCGUGGGGAGCGAACAGG
rnacentral:rRNA from 1 species